rnacentral:rRNA from 1 species
UCAAAUGAAUUGACGGGGAGCACCACAACGGGUGGAGCUUGCGGUUUAAUUGGAUUCAACGCCGGAAAUCUUACCGGGACCGACAGCAAUAUGAAGGCCAGGCUGAAGACUUUGCCGGAUUAGCUGAGAGGUGGUGCAUGGCCGCCGUCAGUUCGUACUGUGAAGCAUCCUGUUAAGUCAGGCAACGAGCGAGACCCACGCCCACAGUUGCCAGCGUACUCUCCGGAGUGACGGGUACACUGUGGGACCGCCGCUGCUAAAGCGGAGGAAGGAAUGGGCAACGGUAGGUCAGUAUGCCCCGAAUAUCCCGGGCUACACGCGAGCUACAAUGGUUGGUACAAUGGGUAUCUACCCCGAAAGGGGACGGGAAUCUCCUAAAACCAAUCUUAGUUCGGAUUGAGGGCUGCAACUCGCCCUCAUGAAGCUGGAAUCCGUAGUAAUCGCGUUUCAACAGAACGCGGUGAAUACGUCCCUGCUCCUU